GAAAUCCCUGACUGGUGGAGUUUUCCAUCUGAGCCUGGAUCUUCAGAGGAAUAAAAGGAAGAUUUUGAUAAUGGAAUUGGUGGUACUUCCCCUUUUGUAAUUGGCUGUGAAAGAAGCUGCUAUUGCACCAAGUCCCUCCAUCUGUGAACCCAUUGAGCUGGCAUUGCAUAUAUGUGACCAAUGACCAAAAUGGUUUAACUGUGUCUAUGUGAGAAGGGAAAAAUAAAUCAAAAGGCCUAUUUCUGGAGGGAUCAGCCUAUUCUCGUGUGAGAGGUCUUCUCUUUCAUGUAGAGAAUCAUCCCAGAGUUCUGGCAAACCAUGGUUUUGAAUAUACUCCCUUUUCCCCAAAUAUCCUGUCACAUACCAGAGGUGUAACCAUAUCCACAGUCUUAACUCCAGGUGGCUGGAAGCUGAUUCUGCAUAAAUUAAAGAGAAAAGGAAGAAAAUGUUAUGAAAUCCAGCUUUUUCUAACGUAUAUUUGAAGAUAAUCUGAAACUAUUGAAAUGGAGACAGCUGCC